AGAAUAUGAAGAUCUAAUUUUGAUUUCUAAUCGAAAGUUAAAAUGGUUUAAUUCCAUUUAUAUUCU
rnacentral:tRNA from 1 species